rnacentral:rRNA from 1 species
GACGAACGCUGGCGGCGUGCUUAACACAUGCAAGUCGAACGGAAAGGCCCUUCGGGGUACUCGAGUGGCGAACGGGUGAGUAACACGUGGGUGAUCUGCCCUGCACUUUGGGAUAAGCCUGGGAAACUGGGUCUAAUACCGAAUAUGACCGCGCUCUUCAUGGGGUGUGGUGGAAAGCUUUUGCGGUGUGGGAUGGGCCCGCGGCCUAUCAGCUUGUUGGUGGGGUAAUGGCCUACCAAGGCGACGACGGGUAGCCGGCCUGAGAGGGUGACCGGCCACACUGGGACUGAGAUACGGCCCAGACUCCUACGGGAGGCAGCAGUGGGGAAUAUUGCACAAUGGGCGCAAGCCUGAUGCAGCGACGCCGCGUGAGGGAUGACGGCCUUCGGGUUGUAAACCUCUUUCAAUAGGGACGAAGCGCAAGUGACGGUACCUAUAGAAGAAGGACCGGCCAACUACGUGCCAGCAGCCGCGGUAAUACGUAGGGUCCGAGCGUUGUCCGGAAUUACUGGGCGUAAAGAGCUCGUAGGUGGUUUGUCGCGUUGUUCGUGAAAACUCACAGCUUAACUGUGGGCGUGCGGGCGAUACGGGCAGACUAGAGUACUGCAGGGGAGACUGGAAUUCCUGGUGUAGCGGUGGAAUGCGCAGAUAUCAGGAGGAACACCGGUGGCGAAGGCGGGUCUCUGGGCAGUAACUGACGCUGAGGAGCGAAAGCGUGGGGAGCGAACAGGAUUAGAUACCCUGGUAGUCCACGCCGUAAACGGUGGGUACUAGGGGUGGGUUUCCUUCCUUGGGAUCCGUGCCGUAGCUAACGCAUUAAGUACCCCGCCUGGGGAGUACGGCCGCAAGGCUAAAACUCAAAGGAAUUGACGGGGGCCCGCACAAGCGGCGGAGCAUGUGGAUUAAUUCGAUGCAACGCGAAGAACCUUACCUGGGUUUGACAUGCACAGGACGCCAGUAGAGAUAUUGGUUCCCUUGUGGCCUGUGUGCAGGUGGUGCAUGGCUGUCGUCAGCUCGUGUCGUGAGAUGUUGGGUUAAGUCCCGCAACGAGCGCAACCCUUGUCUCAUGUUGCCAGCACGUAAUGGUGGGGACUCGUGAGAGACUGCCGGGGUCAACUCGGAGGAAGGUGGGGAUGACGUCAAGUCAUCAUGCCCCUUAUGUCCAGGGCUUCACACAUGCUACAAUGGCCGGUACAAAGGGCUGCGAUGCCGUGAGGUGGAGCGAAUCCUUUCAAAGCCGGUCUCAGUUCGGAUCGGGGUCUGCAACUCGACCCCGUGAAGUCGGAGUCGCUAGUAAUCGCAGAUCAGCAACGCUGCGGUGAAUACGUUCCCGGGCCU